UUAAGGAUUUUGAUGUUAAUGCUCAUGAUUGGCUACUGAAUAAAGAUCCAAUGUGUUGGGCAAGGGCAUUUUUCUCAACUACACAAAAUGUGAUGGACUUUAGAAUAACAUUUAUGAGAGCUUUAAUUCAUUGAUCAAGCCUGCUAGGGACAUGCAAAUAUUGAGCAUGCUUGAAUGGAUAAGAAGUAGAUUAAUGAAAUGUUUUCAUGUCAAAUAUAGUGGGAUGUUGAGGUAUAAGGGUGAUAUCUGUCCUAACAUUCAAGACUUACUUGAGAAAAACAAAUACGAAGCAAGGAAUUGUUUUUGCACACCUUGUGGGGAAAGGAAAUACGAAGUUAAUUUCUAUGACACUCAACAUGUUAUUGACCUCAAUUCACACAGUUGCAGCUGUAGAAUGUGGGAUUUGUCAAGAAUCCCAUGUAAGCACAGCAUUUCUGCAAUACAUGCUAACGAGGAGAAGCCAGACGAUUAUGGGCAUAGUUAUUAUCUUAAGUAUACUUGCUUGGCAGUUUACAAACAUGUUAGAUAUCCUGUGCCAAGUAAAGAGGAAUGGGAAAGAACAAAAUUGAAUGACAUAUAUCCUCCAAUUGUAAGGAAAACAGUACGAAAACCCAGAAAGAAGAGAAUUAGAUAGCCUGACGAAGUAAGAAACCCAUUCAGGGUUUUUAGGGCAGGGACUAAAAGGACUUGUGGUAAUUGUGGAAAAGAAGGACACAUUGUAAGGGGUUGCACUGCUACUGGAUAGGUGAAACACCUGGAUAAAGGAGAGUAAGGAAAAGUAAACAAUCUAAGGGUUUGCAUGGUUUUUCCAAUAGUCAGGGUGAAAGGCAAUAUAAGUAAGCUCCAAGCUCACAGCCAACUCCAAGAUCUGAGAAGAAGACACAGCCAUUCAAAAGUCCAAGACAAACUAAAGAUGGUCACCCUUCAACAAACUAAAGAAGAAUGAUUUGAACUUUUGUAUUUUGAGUAUUGCAUGUGGUGAUGGAUUUGUAAAUGGAAAUUCUUAUGUAUUUUGACAAGUGGAAGUGGUUAUGGUAUUUAGUCUCAGCUUUGUAACCGUGAAUGCAGGCAUCAUAUUGUAACUGCAAAAAUCUUCUAUUCAUAGCAAUGGUGUUAUUUUGUAUAGGGCUGUAGAUAUGUAUUCUCCAAGUUGAUCUCAUAUC